rnacentral:lncRNA from 1 species
ACGAAAAGACGGUGUGACGCGGCUUCCGUGGGCCCGACAUUGCUUGUCUCGGAAUCCGGUGGGCCAAGUCGCGUCAACCAAUCAAAUCGCAGAGUGUCUACAUCGGGAGACGGGGAGAGUGGGUGACAUGUACUUUUCGAGUUGGCGUCCGAAGGUUGAUUUGAGGCUCGCGGUCGUUUUCGUGCUUUCCACGAAACAUGUACCGCUCCGCGUUCGUAUCACGAUUCCUAGCUUCCGGCCACGUGUUACG